rnacentral:tRNA from 1 species
ACGGGGAUCGGCUAACGGUAGGCCGGCGGUCUCUGAAGCCGCUCGUGAAGGUUCGAAUCCUUCUCCCCGUA